rnacentral:rRNA from 1 species
GGCGGCGUGCCUAAUACAUGCAAGUCGAGCGAACGGACGAGAAGCUUGCUUCUCUGAUGUUAGAGGCGGACGGGUGAGUAACACGUGGAUAACCUACCUAUAAGACUGGGAUAACUUCGGGAAACCGUAGCUAAUACCGGAUAAUAUUUUGAACCGCAUGGUUCAAAAGUGAAAGACGGUCUUGCUGUCACUUAUAGAUGGAUCCGCGCUGCAUUAGCUAGUUGGUAAGGUAACGGCUUACCAAGGCAACGAUGCAUAGCCGACCUGAGAGGGUGAUCGGCCACACUGGAACUGAGACACGGUCCAGACUCCUACGGGAGGCAGCAGUAGGGAAUCUUCCGCAAUGGGCGAAAGCCUGACGGAGCAACGCCGCGUGAGUGAUGAAGGUCUUCGGAUCGUAAAACUCUGUUAUUAGGGAAGAACAUAUGUGUAAGUAACUGUGCACAUCUUGACGGUACCUAAUCAGAAAGCCACGGCUAACUACGUGCCAGCAGCCGCGGUAAUACGUAGGUGGCAAGCGUUAUCCGGAAUUAUUGGGCGUAAAGCGCGCGUAGGCGGUUUUUUAAGUCUGAUGUGAAAGCCCACGGCUCAACCGUGGAGGGUCAUUGGAAACUGGAAAACUUGAGUGCAGAAGAGGAAAGUGGAAUUCCAUGUGUAGCGGUGAAAUGCGCAGAGAUAUGGAGGAACACCAGUGGCGAAGGCGACUUUCUGGUCUGUAACUGACGCUGAUGUGCGAAAGCGUGGGGAUCAAACAGGAUUAGAUACCCUGGUAGUCCACGCCGUAAACGAUGAGUGCUAAGUGUUAGGGGGUUUCCGCCCCUUAGUGCUGCAGCUAACGCAUUAAGCACUCCGCCUGGGGAGUACGACCGCA